rnacentral:lncRNA from 1 species
ACUCGUUGGUGUCCUGUGGUUCGUCUCAGUCACUACAGGACCCUGGGGGGCUGUUGCCACCUCCGCCGGGGGCGAGGAGUCGCUUAAGUGCGAGGACCUCAAAGUGGGACAAUAUCCUCUGUGGAGAACACCCCCCCAUGGAGGCGAGAUCCAAAAAUAAAUGACGCUACGCAAGAACCAGUUAACUGUACAAACUACACAGCUCAUGUUUCCUGUUUUCCAGCACCCAACAUAACUUGUAAGGAUUCCAGUGGCAAUGAAACACAUUUUACUGGGAACGAAGUUGGUUUUUUCAAGCCCAUAUCUUGCCGAAAUGUAAAUGGCUAUUCCUACAAAGUGGCAGUCGCAUUGUCUCUUUUUCUUGGAUGGUUGGGAGCAGAUCGAUUUUACCUUGGAUACCCUGCUUUGGGUUUGUUAAAGUUUUGCACUGUAGGGUUUUGUGGAAUUGGGAGCCUAAUUGAUUUCAUUCUUAUUUCAAUGCAGGCUGGAGUGCAGUGGCGUGAUCAUAACUCAUUGCAGCCUCGAAUUCCUGGGUUCAAACAAUCUUCCUGCCUCAGCCUCCCAUCCAGUAUGGGAUAUUUUAAAAGAUUGUUGGACCUUCAGAUGGAAGUAGUUACAUUAUAGAUUACUAUGGAAC